rnacentral:rRNA from 1 species
GGGUAGCGGAACACGUACACAACUUUCCUUUAAGUGGGGGAUAGCCCAGAGAAAUUUGGAUUAAUACCCCGUAACAUUAUGAAGUGGCAUCAUUUUAUAAUUAUAGCUCAGGCGCUUAGAGAUGGGUGUGCGGCUGAUUAGGUAGUUGGCGGGGUAACGGCCCACCAAGCCUACGAUCAGUAACUGGUGUGAGAGCACGACCAGUCACACGGGCACUGAGACACGGGCCCG